rnacentral:rRNA from 1 species
AGUGAACGCUGGCGGUAGGCCUAACACAUGCAAGUCGAACGGCAGCACAGUAAGAGCUUGCUCUUACGGGUGGCGAGUGGCGGACGGGUGAGGAAUACAUCGGAAUCUACUUUUUCGUGGGGGAUAACGUAGGGAAACUUACGCUAAUACCGCAUACGACCUACGGGUGAAAGCAGGGGAUCUUCGGACCUUGCGCGAUUGAAUGAGCCGAUGUCGGAUUAGCUAGUUGGCGGGGUAAAGGCCCACCAAGGCGACGAUCCGUAGCUGGUCUGAGAGGAUGAUCAGCCACACUGGAACUGGGACACGGUCAAGACUCCUACGGGAGGCAGCAGUGGGGAUUAUUCGACAAUGGGCGCAAGCCUGAUCCAGCCAUACCGCGUAGGUGAAGAAGGCCUUCGGGUUGUAAAGCCCUUUUGUUGGGAAAGAAAAGCAGCAGGUUAAUACCCCGCUGUUCUGACGGUACCCAAAGAAUAAGCACCGGCUAACUUCGUG